AUAGUUCCCAUUACAGGGGUAUACCAUGGUCAUCCAGGUGGUUUUCCCAAGGUGAGGCUUGCCCCUUGCAUUCUGGGCAUGCUGACCCCUGUGAGUUUCCCCAAGUACAGGAAACCUGACUGCACAAUUUUGUGGGAAUGGGGCACUGCUUUCUUGCUUUCCCUUU
ensembl:snRNA U1 U1 spliceosomal RNA